rnacentral:misc_RNA from 1 species
CUUCUUCUGCUGCUUAGUGUACCAACAAAUGUCUUUUCAAAUGGUUUUCCUUACAUCUUCAUUGAAAUUCAUUUGGUGAAGAAAUUAUUCAACAAUUUAGCUCAAAAACUCAGAGUCUCAACAAAGCAUUUCUGCUUCCUAGAGUGCCAAACAUUAAGAAGCAGAAUGUAGAGAACUUGCAUUUGUUAUUCUAGUUUACAAGUCCCCAUAUAAGGAAUUGUGUACCAACCAUUAAGAAGCAGAAUGAAUUAUUCUAG